AUUCUGCACUCUGGACUCCUACGGACCAGGAUGAUCAACUCUGAGGAAGAAAGGCCAUGAGGAUGUUGCACAAGAGAGUCCCUGAUACCCAGAGCUUACUGCCUAAGAGAGGAUACAUCCUUCAAACCAAUAAUCUGCUAAUAGCAAGAUCCAAUAGCUUCAUGGAUAUUGAAAGAAACUGAGAAUCAAAUUUGCAUACUUCUGAGUCACUUGGAAACAAAAAACAAGUACAGUCUUGGAUUCUGAGGGAACAAAAAUUAAAAAUCACAUUAGGAAGAGAAUUCUUAAUGUAGGAACUCAUCCUGGAAGAUUCUUCAGCAAAAGUACAGACAAUAAUAAUAAUGCUCCAUGAAAUUACCAUCGAUAUUGAAUGAAUUAAUGAAUGUAAAAACCUCAAAACCCUGCCUGGCCCAGAGCUUUGGAAUAGGUUUGGAUCUACCACUCAACUUCUUUAUGACUUCAGACCAGUUAUUUAAAUUCCCUGGAGCUCAGUUUUCACAUCUUUGAGUUUUUAUUAAUGACCUGCCGACAUCAUACAGUUCAUGAAAUGCUCUGGAUGUGUACAUGCUGAUGAUACGACCUCAGACCCAGCAAGAGCUCAGGGCUAUAUGGAUGUGCUCUACUUGUUGGAGGAUGGUCCAUCCACUCUUCUUCCUGUACUUACCAGGACAGAACAGCCGCAGCUUCUCAGACAGUUCAGUCUUCUUUUCCUCACCUACCACCAUCUAAGAAAGGUACUUGAUGCCUGUAGCUUUAGACAAGAGUCGUUUUCUUACCACAGGGUGGGCAGCACGAGCUCAUUAGAACCAUUUGUGUGACUGACUGAAGACAGCUCACCUUGGAACACUGCAGAAUAUGGCGUAAGUGACAUUGUACAAGUUCCAGAGCCUGGGACUCAAGAUGUCUUGGAGAGUCUGUCUUUGCAGUCUUAUAAUGAUGCCCUGAGAUCAUCUUAAAGAAAGCCAGUCUGGCCUACUGAGGAUGAGAAGCUACAUAAAGGAGAAUGAAGAUUCCCCAGCCAAUAGGCAACAUCAAUAGUCAGAUAUGUGCAUAAAGCCAUGUUGAACCUCCCAGCUAGAUGACCCUCCAGCACAUGAAACCAGCAGAUGAAUAUCCCAGCCUGCCUGAAGAACUGUACAGGAAAUAAGAAAUCAUUGUUGUUUAAGCCACUGGGUUGGUGGGUGGUUUGUUACACUGAAGUAGUUAACUAAAACAGAAAUUGGUGCAUAGAGUCAGGUGCUGUCAUAAUAAAAAUCUAAAACAUGUACUGUUGGCUUUGGUGAUGGGAGUGAUUGGUAGCUAAAGAGGCAGUGAAAUAAUGAUUGAUGAGUAGAUACUGGGAAGUUAAUAAGGAAAUUUCUAUUGGAGGGUGGAGAAAGGGCCACCCUUGUUAUAUAGUGGCCAAACAAUCAGCAAAAUGUUGCCUGCUACAACAUGGAAAGUAGAAACUUUUCUUAAACUCACUCAUGGAUCUGGCUAGGAGAUUUCCAGGAUGCUUGCAACAAAUGUGAAUCAACUUUGUAUAGCUGUGUAUAAUAAAGUGUGCUGUAUUUGUCCAUUCUGAUGCUGCUAAUAAAGACAUACCUGAGACUG
rnacentral:lncRNA from 1 species